AUCGAAGGGCGCCAUCUCCAUAAUCCUCUCUUCCAUCCUCAUCAUACGAAUCGAGGCCUCUCUUUUCCUCCCUCUCCCCCCCCUUAUGUGCCACCGCCCCCCUCUCUCUCUCGUUGUUUGGGCAUUGUACCGUCUCACCCCCUUUUUCUUCGCUAUGUGUUUAUGAGUCCGUGUGCGCACAUCUCUUCCAUCUCCUUCCCAAUCUUUACCCACGACGUGUGCGAGUCUCUUCUUGUUGUUGUGGCCCUCUUUAGAAGUAAGCGCUCUCUUCGGCUGUAUUCUUUUCGCUUGGGAGCUUCCCCUUCAUCCUCACCUACCGCCUCUCUGUCCGUCUCUGUCUCCUCUCUUCAUAAACAGUUCCGCACGCACAGGCACACUUGUGCAUGCCUUCUUAUUUUUUCCUUUAUACUUUCCCCCUUUCUCCCGUACGCACGGAGGUUGUCGCACCAGCGCACGCUAUCUCGCACGCAGGCGGACGCCAGUUCGUGGGCCUCGCUUCAUCUCCACGAUACUGCCGCUUCCGCUGCAGCACUGGCCCCACUGACAGCUCCACUUGCUUUGCAUAUUUCUUCGCUUACUUUUACCUUUUCUUGUUAACCUUCUAGACCACUUAAAUACCGCCCUUCCAACUUCCCCCCUCUCCCCAUCCUCUGUACCCCUCCGCCAGUAUCACUGCCGUCUUCAUCGACGGGAACUCUGUACCGCACGCUCCUCUCUUCUUCCUCCCGGCAGCCGUCGCCAACCACCGCAUCACCUGCGUGCGUUCUCUUCGCUUGCACAUCCUCCCAUCGCCUUGUUGACGAUCGCCCCGCCUGCUUGAGGCUCACGGAUCUCCCUCGUCUCCCUUGCCACUCCACGACAUGUCUUCGUCUGCCGAGCGGUUCCAUCCGAGGUACUUCCCGGCCGUCACUGAGCGUCGCUCCAUCGCGAUGUCGAGAGACGUGGCACCGCCGCUGCACCGCAACGCUGGCCGGUCUGCUGCCGCUGCGACGUUUGUGCGGCCGCCGCGCGCCUCGCCGGCUGCUGUGCCCGCGCCCGCGAGCUGCGGCACUGCGGGGCCGCUGGAACAGGCCUCUCCUGCUGCUGCUGCCGUGCCGUGCGCGCGUGGUGCUGGACUGCCGACGGUGAGCGCGGUGCCGGUGCUGUCGCUGGACUGCGAGGCGGAGCGCGGCUGCGCUGGCGUGGCGCCUGCGACGGUGGCCGCCACGGUGGCGCCCGCAGUGCACGUGGCGGCGCCGGUGUGCGGGACGCGCAGGCUUUCGGCGAUGCCUGCUGCCGCGCUGGUGGAGGCGUUCAGGGCGACGUGCGAGGGGCACGUGGCGGACGUUGCGUGCACGCCGCAGGGCAAGGCGCUGCUGCAGGCGGCGCUGCGGACGCAGCGGCCGGAGGUGCUGGACUCUGUGGUGACGGAGCUGUGCCCACGGCUGCGCGACGUGGCGGUGGACGUGCACGGGUGCCACGUGCUGCGGACGCUGGUGGAGGCGUGCACUGCGGAGCAGACGGAGGCGCUGAUUGGCGCGAUGCACGCGUCGGUUGUGCUGAACAUGUGCACUGCGUCGCAGUACACGCGGCGCACGCUGCAGUCGCUGUUCGAGCGGCGCGAGGUGGACCUGUCUGCGCUUGUGCACGUGCUCGCGGACAACGCGGGGUACCUUGCGGCGACGCAGCAGGGGUGCAUCUCGCUGAUGCGCGUGUUCGAGCUGUGCGACGCGGCGCAGAAGGCGGAGCUGGUGCGCGAGCUGCUGCCGAAGUUGGCUGCGCUGUCGAUGGAUGCGUUUGCGAACUACAUGGUGCAGUGCGCGAUCGAGCACAGCGAUCGCACGACGGCCGCGCAGUACGUUGUGGCCCACUUCACCGGCAACAUAUUGCAGAUGAGCUGCAACAAGCACUCCAGCAACGUGCUGGAGGUUGUCCUGCGGUGCUGUGGCGAGGUCCCGGCGGUGCGGCGCCUUUUUCUGGACGAGCUGGUUUUCAACCCAGCCGCCCUGAAGGAGGUGGUGGGCGAUCUGUACGGGAACUUUGUGGUGCAGGCGCUGAUCGGCGUUGUGACGAACCCGAUGGAGUUCAAGCGCGUGGAGGACCGCCUGCGCCCCGCACUGGUGGGGUGCCAGUUCGCGGCGAAGAUCGAGGGGAAGAUCAAGGCGAAGCGUCCAGUCCCGCCCCACGCGGGCGGUGCGGUGCACCAUCAUCCCUACCCGCAGUCGCACCAGCAACAAGAGGAGCCGCGUACCGUACUAUGCCGUGCCUAUCAGGAUGCCGAGCUUCGCGAGGCGUACGACAAGGCGUGCGCGUCCGCACGCGCUUCAACCGCAUCAACGGGUGAGACAUCGACUUCAGCGGCGGCGAAGCAUUUCCGCCACUUCCCGUACGAACCACCUCGGUUCAUCACCGUGCCCUUUAACUCGGUGGGCAAAAGCGCAGGCGGCGUGUUGUACGGCCACCCGUCUGCUGCGCGCCGUUACAUGCAGCAGCAGCUCCAGCGGCAGCCGCUCUCAAAGUAGCCGCGCCUUAUCGCGACACCACGUGACAGACAGAAGCCCGUCUCUGUCUGUCUCUACUUCUUCCCUUACUCCUCCCACCCUUGGAGUUUUCUUCCGGACUUUAUGACUCGUUAUCCUCCAUGGCCUCCUCCCCCCUUUUUUUUUCAUAUUGGUAUGCUGUGUGCUGAAUGUUGUUUGGCCUUCCCUGCGCCACCACUCCGUGGUUCCGGUCAUACGCACGUGCGCAUGUGUGCAUCUCUGCGCGGAUGUGCACGCGCGUCUAUGCGUGGUGGAGCAGGGAAGCGAAGAAAGGAAGGGAUAACAGACACGAGAAAGAGAGAAUGGUCUAUGCACACGUAUAUAUGUAUAUGCAUGUCUGGGUAGGGAUAUAUAGAUAUAUACGUAUACAUACAUGGAUAUGCAUAUAUCUAUAUGUGUGCGUGUGUGUGCGACAUUGUUUCUUUACUCAUCUCUGUCUUACUACAAUGGUUUUCUUUGUUCCUUUUCGCUCUUAUGUUUUUUUUUUUGCGCUAGACAUCCUCACUGCCCGUUUAAGUAUCGCUCGAAACGGUUCGACCCCACCCCGACUCUCCCCCUUCCGCCGCCAUGACUACCGUUAUUACACAUAUGACGCUUAUCCACGUCUACACUUUUUUCCCUUUUUGUUCCUCCGCUACCUCUGCUGCUGCUGCUCAUUCUCCUCGGCUGCGCCUUCGUGUCGGCCCGUUUUGCACAUUGCUGCUCGCACGCGCCCCCCUGCCCCCUUCGCCGUCCCCCUUUUUCCCCGUGCGAACCGCCGUGCCAACUGUGCCGUACACGGGUAGAGAGGAGGAAGAGGAGGUGAGAGAGAGAGAGAGAGGCCCCCCCCCCCCCCCCCCCCCCCCACACUCCCCCCUCACCACACAGAAAAAACAAACAAACCAAAACCAAAAACCAAAAACCAAAAACACAAAAAAAGUUACAUCGCGCACAUGUUCUGGUGGGAUUUUUCUUUUGUGGUCGUUGUCGUUGUCGAUGCCUCGGAGACGCGUGUUACACACCUCUCCCUCUUCUGUUUUCUUUUUCUCUUUGUGUUUUCUGCCUUUCUCGUGCUGGAGUGCGCGUGCGCUCUAUGACAUUCGGUGAGGAGGAUACCCUUGCACACGUGCUCACUCGAGCACAUCGACCAAGACGGUUCAUUCACUUUCACAGAGCAUACGUGCUCCGUCGCUGGCCAAUCCCCCGGCCCCCUCGCCCCGUGAUGAGACUCCCGAUCAGACACGGAUGGCUUAGACAGACCAAUACAGGUCAAAAAAGAAAAAAAAUCAUUUCGACAAGGAUUGACGAAAAAAAAGCGCAAUCACUCUAAGAUAAACACACAGACACUACUCCAAAGCAAUCAAGUAGAAAAUAAUGCAGAUGCUGACGCGCGUGUACCCUGAACACAUGAGAAGGAAGUUGAUUUUAGUAAGCCCACCCCCUCAUCGUCUCCCUUCCCUCCGCUUGUACGAUGGAAAGCAGAAGACCACAGCUCUUGGAGAAGGCGAUGAGUGGUCGCUCGCAGCAUCCAUGUGAGUCGACGACCUGUCACCGCACUCUAUACCCUCUCGACCGCUUAUGGGCCGGCACUUGGCCUUCUCUUCGCUCAUCAUCGCGGGCUUGAGGCAAUUUGGGGGUUUUCUCAUUUUUCUUUUUGUUGUUCGCGCUUGAUGCAUCUCUCUUGCACUUUACUCCGUCCCUCUUGUUCUCCUUCUCUCUCUCGCGUUUUUUUUUUCGUAUGGCGUCCUCUGCUUCUCCGCGCUUACUGACCGUGUGCCACGCUGCUUGGCGGCCCCGUUUUUCUUCCCCGUUUUGCUUUCGUUGUACUGCGAGCGCGCGUGUGCUGGCGCACUCUCCCCGGCAACUGCCGAAAG
rnacentral:misc_RNA from 1 species